rnacentral:hammerhead_ribozyme from 1 species
CUCCAGCUGACGAGUCCCGAAUGAGACGAAACGCGCGUCCCGGAU